ACGGAGAUUAUUGGAUGGUUGUGUUGGCGUUGAGUUUAUCAUCCGCGGCAACUUUUUCUCUUACCAGUGAAGGGGGCGGGCGCAGAAGGCAGAGGCCAUCAAGCUGUGAAUCCUGCAAGACUGUGCUCUAUGUUCUGUCUGGUUCAUUUCCCCUGGCCUGGGACGAUGGGAACCUCACCAACUACAUCUGCAAAAGCCACCUGACAUUCUGACAAGGAGUCCUGCAGCCAAGAGGGUGGGCACUUAUCUGAUUUUUAAUUCUCUGUGAACCAUGUAGAAACCUAUUUUGACAUUACGUGGUGUAUAAACUUAAUUGUGGUCAUCAUCAAAUAUUGAACCCUAUGAGCUGCUAGGUGAGAUACAUUUAUGAAUAAACAAAGACCAAUUUCAUAGUAA